AGGGAUCAUUACCGAGUUUACAACUCCCAAACCCAUGUGAACAUACCUACUGUUGCUUCGGCGGGAUUGCCCCGGGCGCCUCGUGUGCCCCGGAUCAGGCGCCCGCCUAGGAAACUUAAUUCUUGUUUUAUUUUGGAAUCUUCUGAGUAGUUUUUACAAAUAAAUAAAAACUUUCAACAACGGAUCUCUUGGUUCUGGCAUCGAUGAAGAACGCAGCGAAAUGCGAUAAGUAAUGUGAAUUGCAGAAUUCAGUGAAUCAUCGAAUCUUUGAACGCACAUUGCGCCCGCCAGUAUUCUGGCGGGCAUGCCUGUCUGAGCGUCAUUUCAACCCUCAUGCCCCUAGGGCGUGGUGUUGGGGAUCGGCCAAAGCCCGCGAGGGACGGCCGGCCCCUAAAUCUAGUGGCGGACCCGUCGUGGCCUCCUCUGCGAAGUAGUGAUAUUCCGCAUCGGAGAGCGACGAGCCCCUGCCGUUAAACCCCCAACUUUCCAAGGUUGACCUCAGAUCAGGUAGGAAUACCCGCUGAACUUAAGCAUAUCAU
rnacentral:rRNA from 1 species